rnacentral:tRNA from 1 species
GGGAUUGUGGCUCAGUGGUAGAGCGCUUGCCUGAUAAAUAUGAGGCACUGAGUUCGAUUCUCAGCACCCCG